rnacentral:tRNA from 2 species
UCCUUCUUAGCUCAGUUGGUAGAGCGUUCGGCUUUUAUGCGGACUACUAAGUAGUCAUGAAACCGAAAUGUCAGGGGUUCGACCCCCCUAGAAGGAG